AGGAGACAGGAAGCUCUCUGCCUGCAAGUCUUACAGUUCACGUGCUGGAAAACGCUGAUUAAAACCUUCUACUCAGCUGCUGUCUGACACUCAGACCCCAGCCCACAGCCCCUCUUUGGAUUGCCAGCACAUAGUGCCUGGACCAGGGCAGGCUCUCGGAAAUAGUGGUUGAAUGAUGCACCCAGAAAAACCAUCAUGGUCUGUGGUCAUGCCCAGCCCUCAGCUCCCUGCAGUUCCUCAGCCUUCCUUCCUGGAUGGGUGCCUGCAGGACGGGCCUUCAAGAAGGAGCCCACAGGUGCACACCUGCCACCUUGACUUGGAAGAUGUUCCUGAAGUCGCCACCAGAUGGAGCACCUGUUGGAGUCUGAAACGUCUCCCGCUCAUCCCUAUGCUUUGGGUCAACAGUGACUUUAGCAUUGACUCAGUAAAGAAGAGGGUGGCCUGUUCCUGGGCCAAACAGGGAUCCAAAGACUCACAGAUUUCAUUUUUUUCCAAUAACCAAGUAUCUCACACACAGAGACAAGUGCGGAAGGUAGAUGUCACUCACCUGUGCCCACCACCAAGAACUAACCAGACUCGCAGUUCAGGGAGUACUCUGGCCACCCCUGUGCUAUGAGGCUUCGAGGCUUUCCCAGGCGGUGGUGGGGUGACCUCCAAGUGCAGGUGCCCACAGCUGGGCAGUGUCCCCGUCCCCUUCUCUGGCUGUCUUGGGACACAGGGAUCCAGCCUGAGGGAGCCUCGUGUGUUUCUCCACUUGCUUGGUGCGGGACCUGCGGAUAAAACAAGGCUGAGCACCCGCCUCUGUGCCAGCUGCUGCUGCUCCUUUUGUUUUUGGUUGUUUUUGUUUGUUUGCUGUGGCUUGCCUGGCUGUUUAGGGAGACUAUUGGCAUUCGCUCCAGGAAAUCCUCUCUGGGAUGGAAGUACUUAUUCACGCAGGCGGCUGGAUCGAGGGAAGCACAGUUUCCAGCAACUCCGCUUGGUUAUGAUUAAUGGAGAUAAAUCUGCCCAAGAGAAGCUAAAUUUAGCCAAAAGUUGAGCCCCCUGCUUCCGCACUCCGCCCUCAGGCACCGGCAGAGUGUGUGUUGCUGUUGGCCAGAGCCCAGAUAACAUCAAGAGGUGGAAAACAAUCCCCAGAAAUCUGAAAAAUGUAGAACAAGGAAAGAAAAUGUUCAAUCCAUCAAAACAAACAGAGAUACAAUCUCACCCCCCUUGGUUUUUGUACCACUGGGUUUAGGGGAAAAGAAAACAAGAGACUGAAUGAGAGAGAUAUGCAUUAAAAACACAAAAAGAUUGAAGACAGGAACAGAGUGCUCCCGCACAGGGUCACAGGGCUUGAGAGACCCCGGACCCUCAAGUGCAAGGCCCUGGUGGGGCAGGGCAGUGGGCAGGAGGGAGGCCGGGUUCCCCAGGGUCCAC
rnacentral:lncRNA from 1 species